rnacentral:lncRNA from 1 species
GGAGUUUUUCAUACUGAACCUCUUCAACACCUCCUCAAUGUAUAUUUUUUAUGAUAGUCCUAGUAUCCUUCUAGAUCUAUCUCUAUCGAUCUUAAUCUCUAAAUAAAAGAUAUUUUCCCUAGAUUUUUUAUGAAAAAUUUCUUGAACAACUACAACUUGGCCAACAUUAAUAUAAAAAUAUCAUUCUCAAUUAGGAGGAUGUCAUCCACAUACAAUACGAGGAAAGUGAUAGCACUCAUACUGACCUUUUUAAAGAUGCACGAUUUCUCUUCAUUU